UGGUUGUCACCGGGUAUUUGCAAACAAUAAAGCAUUUCCAGGCGAUUUGUAGGAUAUUGAAGGACUUACAGUUGAUUAUUUGUGACUGUGAGAGCGGCAGGAACAGUGAGAUGAAGGUUAUGCAUUGUGCAAUGUGCAAGGAGCUGGGAGCAAUUAUCGACGGUCAAGAUUGGCGGCUGUCACCGCCCGCGGCCAUCAGAGAUCAUCACCGGGGUUAAUCGGCUUGGCGGGCCGGUCUAGCUGCCAGGGGCCGACUGCCGCCGGCGCCGCCCCGUCCGCCACCCGGCGGGGCAGCACUCAUCAAUCGGACCCGGCCCGAGGCAGAUCAUCCCCCCCCCCAAGCUUCAUAGCUGGUCGACUUUCAUCUGAAGAUGCCCCGCCCUCUUAUGAAGAACAAUUACUGUGUUUAUUGUAUAUUCAUAAUUUUGUAAAGGUCUCAAUAAAAUCCGAAGUACGGCUCCAA